GUCGGGGAGGCAGCUGAAUAUAAUAGCGCAAGCAAAUAGGCUGCGCCGUUUACAUGACGGUUACAAACUCCCCGACUACCAGAG
rnacentral:ncRNA from 1 species